GAUGAUGUGUUGGUUGAACGACCAUCAUUCUUUAAUUUAUGCUAAAAUAUUUUGAACUAGAGUGCUCAAAUAGAGCUAAAGUUUUCUUAAGUGUCUCUACCACAUUGCUCCCUUCUUCUAAAGCACUUGCCUAGGACUUCGCUCCUUUUGGAGUUGAAGAUCCAAAAAUUAGAGUUGGUUUGGACUAUACCUGAUGUGUUUGUUGUCCUAGCAUGCCAGCCUUU
rnacentral:lncRNA from 1 species